rnacentral:rRNA from 1 species
GACGAACGCUGGCGGCAGGCCUAACACAUGCAAGUCGAACGAGUGGCGGACGGGUGAGUAAUGUCUGGGAAACUGCCCGAUGGAGGGGGAUAACUACUGGAAACGGUAGCUAAUACCGCAUACCAUCGGAUGUGCCCAGAUGGGAUGAGCUAGUAGGUGGGGUAACGGCUCACCUAGGCGACGAUCCCUAGCUGGGCUGAGAGGAUGGCCAGCCAAACUGGAACUGAGACACAGUCCAAACUCCUACGGGAGGCAGCAGUGGGGAAUAUUGCACAAUGGGCGCAAGCCUGAUGCAGCAAUGCCGCGUGUAUGAAGAAGGCCUUCGGGUUGUAAAGUACUUUCAGCGAGGAGGAGUGACUCUAAGAAGAAGCACCGGCUAACGCCGUGCCAGCAGCCGCGGUAAUAC